GAGGGUGUAGCUCAGUGGUAGAGCACAUGCUUAGCAUGCAUUAGGUCCUGGGUUCAAUCGCCAGGACCUCCA
rnacentral:tRNA from 1 species